rnacentral:rRNA from 1 species
UACGUAGGGUGCAAGCGUUGUCCGGAAUUAUUGGGCGUAAAGAGCUCGUAGGCGGUCUGUUGCGUCGGCUGUGAAAACCCGGGGCUCAACCCCGGGCCUGCAGCCGAUACGGGCAGACUAGAGUUCGGCAGGGGAGACUGGAAUUCCUGGUGUAGCGGUGAAAUGCGCAGAUAUCAGGAGGAACACCGGUGGCGAAGGCGGGUCUCUGGGCCGAUACUGACGCUGAGGAGCGAAAGCUAGGGGAGCAAACGGG